rnacentral:rRNA from 1 species
ACCCGAUAGAUCUCGACUGCUGGAAUGCAUCGAGAUCUAAAGCUCCGGCGCCUAAGGAUGGGUCUGCGGCCUAUCAGGUAGUAGUGGGUGUAGCGUACCUACUAGCCUACGACGGGUACGGGUUGUGAGAGCAAGAGCCCGGAGAUGGAUUCUGAGACACGAAUCCAGGCCCUACGGGGUGCAGCAGGCGCGAAAACUUUACAAUGCUGGAAACAGCGAUAAGGGGACCUCGAGUGCCAGGUUACAAAUCUGGCUGUCGUGAUGCCUAAAAAGCAUUGCAUAGCAAGGGCCGGGCAAGACCGGUGCCAGCCGCCGCGGUAACACCGGCGGCUCGAGUGGUAACCGUUAUUAUUGGGUCUAAAGGGUCUGUAGCCGGCCGGAUAAGUCUCUUGGGAAAUCCAGCAGCUCAACUGUUGGGCUUUCAGGAGAUACUGUCUGGCUCGAGGCCGGGAGAGGUGAGAGGUACUUCAGGGGUAGGGGUGAAAUCUUGUAAUCCUUGAAGGACCACCAGUGGCGAAGGCGUCUCACCAGAACGGACCUGACGGCAAGGGACGAAAGCUAGGGGCACGAACCGGAUUAGAUACCCGGGUAGUCCUAGCCGUAAACGAUACUCGCUAGGUGUCGGCCACGGUGCGACCGUUGUCGGUGCCGUAGGGAAGCCGUGAAGCGAGCCACCUGGGAAGUACGGCCGCAAGGC